CCUACGGGUGGCAGCAGUGAGGAAUAUUGGUCAAUGGGCGAGAGCCUGAACCAGCCAAGUCGCGUGAAGGAUGACGGCCCUACGGGUUGUAAACUUCUUUUGUCAGGGAGCAAUUGGGUCCACGCGUGGGCUUAGCUAGAGUACCUGAAGAAAAAGCAUCGGCUAACUCCGUGCCAGCAGCCGCGGUACUACGGAGGAUGCGAGCGUUAUCCGGAUUUAUUGGUGUUAAAGGGUGCGUAGGCGGAAUAUCAAGUCAGCGGUAAAAAUUCGGGGCCCAACCCCGUUGUGCAGUUGAAAUGAAUGUUCUUGAGUGGGCGAGAAGUAGGCGGAAGGCGUGGUGUAGCGGUGAAAUGCAUAGAUA
rnacentral:rRNA from 1 species